GUUCACUUUAACACUGAGGCGUGAUGACGAGGCACUACGGUGCUGAAGCAACAAAUGCCCUGCUUCCAGGAAAAGCCUCUAAGCAUCAGGUAACAUCAAAUCGUACCCCAAACCGACACAGGUGGUCAGGUAGAGAAUACCAAGGCGCUUGAGAGAACUCGGGUGAAGGAACUAGGCAAAAUGGUGCCGUAACUUCGGGAGAAGGCACGCUGACACGUAGGUGAAGUGAUUUACUCAUGGAGCUGAAGUCAGUCGAAGAUACCAGCUGGCUGCAACUGUUUAUUAAAAACACAGCACUGUGCAAACACGAAAGUGGACGUAUACGGUGUGACGCCUGCCCGGUGCCGGAAGGUUAAUUGAUGGGGUCAGCGCAAGCGAAGCUCCUGAUCGAAGCCCCGGUAAACGGCGGCCGUAACUAUAACGGUCCUAAGGUAGCGAAAUUCCUUGUCGGGUAAGUUCCGACCUGCACGAAUGGCGUAAUGAUGGCCAGGCUGUCUCCACCCGAGACUCAGUGAAAUUGAACUCGCUGUGAAGAUGCAGUGUACCCGCGGCAAGACGGAAAGACCCCGUGAACCUUUACUAUAGCUUGACACUGAACAUUGAGCCUUGAUGUGUAGGAUAGGUGGGAGGCUUUGAAGCGUGGACGCCAGUCUGCGUGGAGCCGACCUUGAAAUACCACCCUUUAAUGUUUGAUGUUCUAACGUGGACCCGUAAUCCGGGUUGCGGACAGUGUCUGGUGGGUAGUUUGACUGGGGCGGUCUCCUCCUAAAGAGUAACGGAGGAGCACGAAGGUUGGCUAAUCCUGGUCGGACAUCAGGAGGUUAGUGCAAUGGCAUAAGCCAGCUUGACUGCGAGCGUGACGGCGCGAGCAGGUGCGAAAGCAGGUCAUAGUGAUCCGGUGGUUCUGAAUGGAAGGGCCAUCGCUCAACGGAUAAAAGGUACUCCGGGGAUAACAGGCUGAUACCGCCCAAGAGUUCAUAUCGACGGCGGUGUUUGGCACCUCGAUGUCGGCUCAUCACAUCCUGGGGCUGAAGUAGGUCCCAAGGGUAUGGCUGUUCGCCAUUUAAAGUGGUACGCGAGCUGGGUUUAGAACGUCGUGAGACAGUUCGGUCCCUAUCUGCCGUGGGCGCUGGAGAACUGAGGGGGGCUGCUCCUAGUACGAGAGGACCGGAGUGGACGCAUCACUGGUGUUCGGGUUGUCAUGCCAAUGGCACUGCCCGGUAGCUAAAUGCGGAAGAGAUAAGUGCUGAAAGCAUCUAAGCACGAAACUUGCCCCGAGAUGAGUUCUCCCUGAGACUUAGAGUCUCCUGAAGGAACGUUGAAGACGACGACGUUGAUAGGCCGGGUGUGUAAGCGCAGCGAUGCGUUGAGCUAACCGGUACUAAUGAACCGUGAGGCUUAACCUUACAACGCCGAAG
rnacentral:rRNA from 1 species